CGAGCAGUGGGGAAUAUUGCACAAUGGGCGCAAGCCUGAUGCAGCAACGCCGUGUGAGUGAAGAAGGUUUUCGGAUCGUAAAACUCUGUCCUAAGGGAAGAAACAAAUGACGGUACCUUAGGAGGAAGCCCCCGGCUAACUACGUGCCAGCAGCCGCGGUAAUACGUAGGGGGCAAGCGUUAUCCGGAAUCACUGGGCGUAAAGGGUGCGUAGGCGGCUUAGCAAGCCAGGGGUGAAAGGCAUUGGCUCAACCAAUGUAAGCCUUUGGAACUGUUAAGCUUGAGUGCAGGAGAGGUAAGUGGAAUUCCUAGUGUAGAGGUGAAAUUCGUAGAUAUUAGGAGGAACACCAGUGGCGAAGGCGACUUACUGGACUGUAACUGACGCUGAUGCACGAAAGCGUGGGUAGCGAACAGGAUUAGAUACCCUGGUAG
rnacentral:rRNA from 1 species